AUCCUAAUAGCUUAUUAGAGCAUGAUAUUGAAGAUGUCAAGGAGGUUUAAAAUCUUAGGAUA
rnacentral:tRNA from 1 species